ACUGCUCAGUAACACGUAGUCAACAUGCCCAGGGGACGUGGAUAACCUCGGGAAACUGAGGAUAAACCGCGAUAGGUCAUAAUAUCUGGAAUGAUGUAUGGCUUAAAUCUAUAUGGCCCCUGGAUUGGACUGCGGCCGAUCAGGCUGUUGGUGAGGUAAUGGCCCACCAAACCUAAAACCGGUACGGGCUCUGAGAGGAGAAGCCCGGAGAUGGGCACUGAGACAAGGGCCCAGGCCCUAUGGGGCGCAGCAGGCGCGAAAACUCUGCAAUAAGCGAAAGCUUGACAGGGUUAUUCUGAGUGAUUUCCGCUAAGGAAAUCUUUUGGCACCUCUAAAAAUGGUGCAGAAUAAGGGGUGGGCAAGCCUGGUGUCAGCCGCCGCGGUAAUACCAGCACCCCGAGUGGUCGGGACGAUUAUUGGGCCUAAAGCAUCCGUAGCCGGUUCUACAAGUCUUCCGUUAAAUCCACCUGCUUAACAGAUGGGCUGCGGAGGAUACUAUAGAGCUAGGAGGCGGGAGAGGCAAGCGGUACUUAGUGGGUAGGGGUAAAAUCCGUUGAUCCAUUGAAGACCACCAGUGGCGAAGGCGGCUUGCCAGAACGCACUCGACGGUGAGGGAUGAAAGCUGGGGGAGCAAACCGGAUUAGAUACCCGGGUAGUCCCAGCUGUAAACGAUGCAGACUCGGUGAUGAAUAGGCUUCGUGCCUCUUCAGUGCCGCAGGGAAGCCGUUAAGUCUGCCGCCUGGGGAGUACGGUCGCAAGACUGAAACUUAAAGGAAUUGGCGGGGGAGCA
rnacentral:rRNA from 1 species